rnacentral:rRNA from 1 species
UACGAAGGGGGCUAGCGUUGCUCGGAAUCACUGGGCGUAAAGCGUGCGCAGGCGGUUCGUUAUGUCCGAUGUGAAAGCCCCGAGCUUAACUUGGGAAUGGCAUUGGAAACUGGCGGGCUGGAGUGCGGCAGAGGGGGGUGGAAUUCCACGUGUAGCAGUGAAAUGCGUAGAGAUGUGGAGGAACACCGAUGGCGAAGGCAGCCCCCUGGGCCGACACUGACGCUCAGGCACGAAAGCGUGGGGAGCAAACAGG